UUGCAACAGUUGGAUAGAUGGGUUAUCAUCUACCAUGUGGAUUGUGCAUAUGUCAAGUUUCAAAGCGAAAGUCUUAUGGCCUACCAUGUAUUAAACCUUUUCUCAGCCAUCCGAAUCUUGGUUAAUUAGACCUGUUGAUUGUGCCAUGUGCCUAGGUGGUGUAGUACUUUCCGGAUGAAACUCAACUUGUGACUCUAGAAUGAUGUGAACUUCUCCAUAAAAUUUGAGCAUCAAGUAAACAGCCAAAUUGAGGAUAAAAGCAUCUGGAGGGUUGACCUCUCUGGACAUGCUCUUCUAGAGAAACCAUGUCCUUUCAAAUAUAUAUAUUUAUUUGGGCUUGGAAACUGUUUUAGUAGUAGGGUAGUUUAUAAUCAAAAUCAUGAACUUUCUGAAAGUUUGAUAUUAUUGUACCUUCUGGUACUGUAUCAGAGUUGUGAUAAGAAUGUGAUGCUAAUCAUCUAUGCCAAAGUUAUGCUCUAAUACAUGUAGAAAGCAUUGAUUAUAUGAUAAGGUCAGGACAGAGGGUGGGCCCAGACAUGCAUUUCCCUGAAAAGUGUUUUUUCUAAUGAAAAAUCUUUG